AAAAUGUAUUAAAUUCUUGAAUUCAUCAUAAAAUUUAUCCAUGUCCAUACAAUAAGUUAGAGGCUCUCAAAAAACAGAGCCACUAAUUGAAAUCAGUCAUGUCCUUCAAUGAAUGGUACAUAUAAUUAUGCUUCAAAGUGAAGUUUUGCUGUUAGAAGUAACUGGCCAUUGCCAAAACCCAAGUGUAAUAAGUUGUUCCGUUAUCAAAUGAAGUCACCUCUGAAUAUUUUUCCAGUAUAUGAGUGUUCUUAUUUGCUUUUCUCGUUUUCCCAUGCUUCCUAUAGUCAAUAGAUAAUUAAGGCAGCAGUAGGAAAAAAAGAUUUUAUUCAGGCUCGAUUCUGGGAUCUUGAAGCAAUGCGUGAACACUUCUUCCGACUGGUUUUGCUAAGUGCACAGACACAAGUCUCGAGAAGAUCAUAGUCCUCAUCCCAGAACAACAAUGACGCCUUCUCUGGGUUCUCCAAAAGCAUCUUUGAUGUCAGGAAACCAGCAACUGUCCACGUCUGAAAAAGCCGGGAUUGUUUACCUAUAAACCUUCCACUGCGCGUGUCAUAGUAUUCAGGCCACUGAUCCCGUAACAAUCUUUUCUCGGCCAAAUCAACUGCCCUCUGUGCUAAUUCUGGUCUCCCCAUCUUUAUACAUGCCAAUGUGAACUGGAAUAAUAAGCAAUAUCUCAGCAAUCCCAGGACCGUAACUCAGAAGCAGCAUUCAACCAAGUCAUAAUUUGGAAAUAUUUACCUGCCAUAGGAGGGUUGGCCAAGAUCCUCCAUUAUGAUAUGACCAUGGGCUGCAGUAAUAUCAGGAUGAUUAGCAUAUUAGAAAACUACAUUCCCCAAGAUCUGCUGUGCCGCUAGGCAACAUAUUAGGGGGAAUAUGAGAAAGAUCAAAUAAAUUACACAGAAUAUAAAAGAGCCUCACGUAUUCUUUGGGUCACUGCCAGUAAUUAUACGCCAUUCUUCAUAUUCCAAAGCAGGAUAACAAAUCUUAAGAGGCAUAUGAGCCACAAGAUCAUCCCAUUUGGCCUCAAUCAAAUUCAGGAUACCCUCGUUCUGUCUUUGGGUUCCCAAAGAAGAAAUAAUAACCCAAAGAUUCCCAAGAGUGAAAAACCUAAAAUCCAUAUGAGCAGGUUGCAGAUUGCCAAUGAGGUAGCCACCUUCUUCAGGUAUCCAAUCCACUAGCCAUGAAGGAAUUUGAUCCGGAUAUAUAUUGAACUUGUUCACUGCAUCUGUUGAGUAUUCCUCUGUCUUGUAACGAUAGAUCUCAUUAAUCUUCUUCAUGUCCACCCAAUAAUACUCUCUGAUGUGAAAUGAGAGUGCUCUGAGUCGGUUAUUGACGGCCGAUACCAAAUUCUUGGUUCCAUCAUUCACGAUAAGCAUCUCACGGGCACAACGCAAAGCCGAAUAGAAUAAGGCUUGGAUUUCAAGAGGAUGUCCAUGAAUACCCAUCCGUCUAUCAAUCAUGCACGAACCAUCAGUGACUAAAAGUGUGGGGAACAUGUCAAAUCCAUCAGAUAAACACAGACUAAGUAUGAGCCUAAUGCCUGUCUGGAAAUCAAUUCUCUCUUGCAACGCAUAGUCGCCUGUGAUCUUUCCAUAAGCUCGCAACAAAAUUAUCCACCACAACCCAGAAUCAACAGGGGCUACACGCCCAAUGGCUGAUUCACCAAAGUCGGGAUCCAAAACUUCUUCAAAUGCUCUAUCACUUCCAUCUAGGGGUGCAGUUCUAACUUUAAAACUUGCUGGCAUCAACCCUUGCCCAGGACUGUGACAGUCCACUGUCUUUUCCCAACUCUAACAAACAAAACAGACAAUUGCUUAUUACAAUUAAAAAUUGAAAGGACCACUUAAUAGGUUAAUUUUACCGAAGAAAGCCAUUUAAAAUGCAUCAUCAAUAAGCUACCCUGACACAUGUUGUGAUAUCAUUUAACCCACUCAACAAGCUAUUCUGUUACGUCUGGAGAUCAAAAAAAGUUUUCCUUAUCACAAUUUGAAGUACAUACUAUGUGCAUUACAAAAUAAGCAAAAGUUUUUCUUUAGUAGCACAAAAUGCACCACUACAACUAGAUAGGGAUUAAGGCUAAGUUGAGUUGAAGAACGCAACACUACAGGCACCAAGGAUAUGGGAGUAAGCUAGAAUACUAAGAUUGCAGAGUGAGUAAACAAUAUGCCAACAAAAAUUUUCCCACUUAACAUACAAAAAGGUAAUUCAAUUGUGUGAACCAACAAACAAAAAUUUAUCAAUAUCAUAUGCUAGAAGUGCCCAUGAUAGAUUACGAAAUGCAUAACUAUUCAAUAAUAAAUUACCUGCAACUGCAAUGUGUAAAGAAGAAAGUUCUUCACAAUUUCCACCUCUCCAUUAAGCAAAAAAGCGAGUGCAGAGGGAACAAAAUCACGAAUAAAUACUUGAUCGUAGUUCAGUGGUUGCUUAUCAGCAGGAUCAUUUGCAGCAACAGUCCCCACUGGAUUGCCACAAUAAUUCACAAUAGCACCUUGAAGCAACUUCCAGGCCUCCUUUUCAGUCUCAGACACCUCUCUCUCAACCUUAGGAGCAGUCUCAUUCAAACCCUUCAAAUAGUCUAUGUUCACACUAGUCCCGUUAAUUUCUAUCCUAUUAGACUUAUCUUCUUCUUUGACUACAUUAUUUCCUGUUUCAAUUUUUUUGAUCACUAAAGGCUUCACAUUCAAACCUCCUUGAAUGUAAAUGUUCUCAAAUCCCUUCUCAUUAAUGUGAGACUCUACUGAUGUUGAAUGGUUCCUAAUAUCUGACGAUACCCUGGGAAUUACUAAAACACCCCUUAUACGACCCAUGUCUACAUGGAAACUUGAUGUAAAAAUCUUGGAAUGACCCCAGUUCGAAUCAGAGACAUUAAAAGCUCUGCGAUUCGAAUUGACGAGAGACUUAUUACCUAUGAUUCUGGACCUAUUAUUGACACUGUGGUAACGGAAUCUACGGUGAUGGGCCGAUUUGGAUUGUGAUUUCGACAAAUUGUUAUGGAUGCCUGGAUUAUUUAACUUUGGGAGAGAAAACCCAAAAAAGGUAGAGCUUCUAUACCCAAUUAGGAUUCUACAGCAGGGUUUCAUGGUUGAGAUUCCAAUACAGCUGCUAAUACUCAUUCUUGAUAUGUAUAUACGAGAAUAUGAAGUAAAGGUGCAACCUUAAACACUCUAUCUAUACAGUGUUAUUGUUAUAUGUUAUAUAUACAUACAGACAGACAAAACUAGCUCUGCUGAUCUUGACAAAUGAAUUGAACCAGAGAGUAUAUGCUUAAUCAAAAGAUUACGUGUGUAUAGAAUUAAAAAUGGAGGAAAAAAAAACUAAAAUUUAAAAUGUUUGUUACUUACAGUUGAAGAAAGACGUUGAAGAACAGCUUUGGAUGAGAGAGAUCGAGAGAGAAAGUGUGUCUGAAGAAUGGUAGAUUUUGCGGGAGAUGCCCCAAAUGAGCAUUUUAUAUAGAAGGAAA
rnacentral:misc_RNA from 1 species